CUAUUUUCAGACAUACACUGAUUCUGUCUUUGACUCUGGUGAAGUCACCAGAAACCAGCAUAGCAUCUGUUAGUCUCUCCUUUUGGAAAAUUGAAGGAAACAACACUUCUUAUAAGGAAGCAGCAUGGACAAGGGGACUGUCUGUCAUCAGAGCCUCUGCCUGGGUGUGGGCGAAGCCAGGCCAGGCCGCAAACCACCCGGGUUGGGAGAAUGGGCCUCCUCCGCAGAUUAACAUCUGGAAGCAUCUGGGGUUAAGAGUCUAUCACAGAUCACAGAAAGAAAAUAGAAGUGAAGGUUCAUCUCAGGCAGGAAGUAAUUCUGUCCUAAGAAGAAAACUGUUGUAGAGUCAUGGACCCUGGAGUAGGAAUCAGAAGACUCAGAAGAGCUCCAUACAAACUCACUCUUUGGUGCGGAGAUAAGGCAGGCAUGGUACAGGUUCACAGACUCAGCACUGGAAGGGAAGUGACUCUCAAGUCAUUUCCAGAAGCUGAUGGAGCAACUGAAGCUGUGGUACCAUUUUGGUAUUACAAAAUCUUUUUUUUUUUUUUUAAACAAAUACCAUGUUUCUGAGCAAUUCAGGACAAUUAGAGGGAUCAGUAGUGAGGAUAAAGAGAAGGCACUGAUAUUUCUGGUGAAAAUUUUCAAAAGUAUACCCACCUAGGGCCCAGACUUUCCAGAAGUAGGUCAUGUUUAUGGUAAGCCUUGAAACAAGUGAGUAAAUCAUUUCUAUUCUCAAGCAGCAUUAAGAAUCGUUGUUUUAGAGUAGUUUAAUGCUUAAAUGCCUUUAAGCAUUUCCAAUCCCAUAUAUCCUGAAUUUUUAAGAAUUCACUUGAAAAGUUACAUUUGAUGCUUGAUAUUUUCAUCAUUCAUUUAUUUUUUUUAUUUGUUUAAAAUGCGUUUUAUUGUUUUUAAAGUCAUCUCUGUACCCAGCAUGGGGCUCAAACUCAUGACCCUGAGAUCAAGAGUCCCAUGCUCUACCAACUGAGCCAGCCAGGCACCCUCUCAUUACUAGUUUUAAAUAGCUGCAAGAGCGCUAUUUAUUUUGGCAUAUUAUAAGUAGUAAUAUCUUUUAAAGAGACAUUAUAGUCUUUGAAAUCCGUCCAAUGAAAUUUGAAUGCCACUGUGAUUCGGAAUUCACCUUCUUUCAUUUAAAAACAUGUAGCCAAAAAAAUAAAAAUAAAAAAAUAAAAACAUGUAGCCCAUCAAGACGAUGCAAGUUUACAGCUCAGAUUUACUAUUUACCAUUUAAUAUCAAUGCCGUAAGCUACAUUAAGAUGAGACCCAAAUCUCUGACAACCAAAUCUUUGUGAAUAUGUUCUUUCCAAAUUAAAGAAGGCAGUAAAGCGCAGCAGGAGCAGUCAGGCAGCUCAUUUUCAUCCCUGAGCCAUGCACUUCAGCAACAUCCAAAGGAAUGCUUCUGCGCCAUUCCCAGCACAAUCCUGGAUUAACUUGGCUAAAGGAUUUCAAAGUUUUGAAAGCUCCUCACCAAUCGUAUUGUUGGUAAGUCUUAACAAGCCAAAUAUCAAAUAUAUCUAUGGUUAACUGGGAAUAAUUGGAGAUGUCUGUGGCUCCAUCCAUGUGAAGGCACAUGUUUCAUCUUCAAAAAAAAAAAAUUUUUUUUAACCACAAUCUGUUAAACAAUGACUUCCAUCAUUUUAUGUACUCUAAAAAUGCAAA